CUUGAUUUCCAUAACAGAUCGAUGAGGGCUCCAUGAAAAUCUUUAACUGAGUAACAAGUGCGCGUUCCUGUGGUGUGACUCAGUUUUGAGAACAAUAACUGCUGAAAAAAGAUGAAUCCGGCCAAUCGCCAGUGGCAAACUAUCGCCCUGAACUUGUUCCUUUUUGUUAUCAGUGGAGGAGCGGGAUAUCCCUCCGGACUGGAAUUUAAAAAUGCAUCAAUCUGUGAAGGUGUUCAUGACAAUACCGCAAAAAUCAAAAUAUCUCCAUGGCCAUUCAUAGCGAGUGGAACUGUCGGCAGUCUUAGUGUUACAUUUA